rnacentral:rRNA from 1 species
AUUUCCAUUCCCCAUAGGAUCGCAUUCCGGGCUUUUUUAUCGAGGCUGAACCUAAACCUGCCGUCAGGACAGUCUGAUCAUAGUUCAUAUGUUCCCUCCGAGUAGCAAUCUUAUGACAGAUACGUGGGUUCUGGCGGCGCCCGGGACGUAAGCCCCCCGGCGGCCAGUUAAGCGGCCCGCCGCAGCAACAAGGAACUAAAACCUGGGGGAGGUGGACCCAGAGGGCCCUCACUCGCCUUCCGUAGGUGAACCUGCGGAAGGAUCAUUACCGAGUGAGGGCCCUCUGGGUCCAACCUCCCACCCGUGUUUAUUUUACCUUGUUGCUUCGGCGGGCCCGCCUUAACUGGCCGCCGGGGGGCUUACGCCCCCGGGCCCGCGCCCGCCGAAGACACCCUCGAACUCUGUCUGAAGAUUGUAGUCUGAGUGAAAAUAUAAAUUAUUUAAAACUUUCAACAACGGAUCUCUUGGUUCCGGCAUCGAUGAAGAACGCAGCGAAAUGCGAUACGUAAUGUGAAUUGCAAAUUCAGUGAAUCAUCGAGUCUUUGAACGCACAUUGCGCCCCCUGGUAUUCCGGGGGGCAUGCCUGUCCGAGCGUCAUUGCUGCCCUCAAGCACGGCUUGUGUGUUGGGCCCCGUCCUCCGAUCCCGGGGGACGGGCCCGAAAGGCAGCGGCGGCACCGCGUCCGGUCCUCGAGCGUAUGGGGCUUUGUCACCCGCUCUGUAGGCCCGGCCGGCGCUUGCCGAUCAACCCAAAUUUUUAUCCAGGUGACCUCGAUCAGUAGUCCGGUUA